rnacentral:rRNA from 1 species
GACGGGGGGGGCAAGUGUUCUUCGGAAUGACUGGGCGUAAAGAGCUCGUAGGCGGUGUGUCGCGUCGGCCGUGAAAACCUGCAGCUUAACUGUGGGCGUGCGGUCGAUACGGGCAUCACUGGAGUUCGGCAGGGGAGACUGGAAUUCCUGGUGUAGCGGUGAAAUGCGCAGAUAUCAGGAGGAACACCGGUGGCGAAGGCGGGUCUCUGGGCCGAUACUGACGCUGAGGAGCGAAAGCGUGGGGAGCGAACAGG